UUGAGGUAAAUAUGUAUAGUGAAUAAAGGGAUGUAAUUAGUAUGUUAAGUCCUAUAAGUAUAAUAGUGAAGUUUGAUCUGGAGAAGGAGGCUAUGAUUGUAAAGAGUUCUCCAAUUAAAUUAGUGGUUGGGAGUAGGGCAAGAUUAGUACAAUUUGCUAAAAGUCAUCAAAGGGCUAUUAAUGGAAAUAAUGUUCGGAGGCCUCGGGUCAAUAGUAUGUUUCGGCUAUGGAUUCGUUCAUUAUUUGAGUUUGCUAGGCAGAACAUUAAAGAUGAGGUGAGUCUGUGGGCGAUUAUGAGAGUAGUAGUGCUUGUAAAACUUCAAGGGGCUUGAAUGAGGAUUGCUAGAAUAACAAGUGCUAUAUGGCUUACGGAAGAAUAGGCGAUGAGUAAUUUUAGGUCAGUUUGUCGUAAACAGAUAGAGCUUGUUAUGACCAAGCAGAUC